UGAGGUUGAAACACCAGUCCCCGUAUGAUCACCGAUGUUAAACAAAACCAAGCCUGGUCAGUACCUUAAUGGGUGGCCGCUUGGGAGGACCAGGUACUGUAA